AAAGUCUUGAAUAACAGAUGAAAAAUUUGAUCUUUACCCAAAGGGUUGAGGUUGGAGGCCCAGAUCCCUCAUUCAGUAGUUGUGUGACCCUGGACAAGUCACUAAAUCCAGUGUCUGAGCCUACAUUCUUAAGCAAAGCUUUUUUUUUUUUUUUUUUUUUGGUACCAGGGAUCAAACUCAGGACCUUGCGCUUUCGAAGCAGGCGAUGGAACCACUGAGCUAAAUCCCCGGCCCACUGCAUUCUUUCUUCUAUAAAAUUGGGUGACAAUAACUUGGUUUUUGGCAGGUGAGCACCCCUUCCGGGGUCGGGCGCUUGGAUUGGGACCGGCUCCGGCUUCCGCUCAGUCGGGUGCACGGGAGACUAUGGCGUCCUCGGUCCCGCCAGCCACCGCACCCGCGGCAACAGCGGGCCCCGGCCCGGGUUUCGGCUUCGCCUCCAAAACCAAGAAGAAGCAUUUCGUGCAACAGAAGGUGAAGGUGUUCCGGGCAGCAGACCCACUGGUGGGCGUGUUCCUGUGGGGAGUAGCCCACUUGAUCAGUGAACUCAGCCAGAUGGGCACCAGCAACUGGCCUGUGGGGAUGCAAAGCUGUUUUUCUCUGUGUCUGGCUGGACUAACCAGUCCCACAAGAAGGCAUGAGGUCAUAAGUGAGAAACUGCCUUCCUGUCACCUUCCGCUCCAAAGGAGGUAGCAAGAGAAGUCUCCAGUGUGGGGUUGGAGCCCCUGUAAUAUCUUCCUGUCCUGUGUGGAUCCUGGUGGAUCUUUUCCAUUCCCAUCAUCUACCUUUCCCUUGUUGAAUGCAAUAAAACUCUGUGACACCAGCAGCUGUUGCUUUUUAGAACUGGGUUUACUGAUUAUGCGGCUGAUGUAUCUUAGGCAGUAUAAUCUUCAUUUGUUGCUUGUUUUUCACCUUUUUUGUUUUAUUAAUAAAAGAUCUUAUGUAUUUACUCCCAUUACUAUCACAAUACAAAAAUAAAUUAUUCAAUCCAAAAAAUAAAAAGAUAACUUGGUUUUUUUUCUAGUACUAGGGAUUCAACCUAGGGCCUUCACACUGAGUUACUUCCCCAGACUUUUUUAUUUUU
rnacentral:lncRNA from 1 species